GACUAAGCCACCCAGGCGCCCCUGGAGGAGGCAGAGAGAGAGGGAAUCCCAAGCAGCAUGGAUGCUCAGCUGGGACCCUGAGAGAGAAACAGAGACAGAUCAUGAGCAGGAG